rnacentral:rRNA from 1 species
AGGAUAAACGCUGGCGGCGUGCAUGAGACAUGCAAGUCGAACGGACACUUGGGGCUUGCUCCAAGUGUUAGUGGCGGACGGCUGAGUAACGCGUAGGUGACCUGUCCCGAAGUGGGGAAUAACUGCCCGAAAGGGUGGCUAAUACCGCAUGUGGUGGUGUGUUCAUUCACACCAGUAAAGCCGCAAGGCGCUUCGGGAGGGGCCUGCGUCCGAUUAGCUCGUUGGUGGGGUAACGGCUCACCAAGGCGACGAUCGGUAGGUGGUCUGAGAGGACGAUCACCCAGACUGGGACUGAGACACGGCCCAGACUCCUACGGGAGGCAGCAGUCGGGAAUUUUGCGCAAUGGACGAAAGUCUGACGCAGCAACGCCGCGUGAGGGAUGAAGGCCUUCGGGUUGUAAACCUCUUUUAUCAGGGAAGAUAAUGACGGUACCUGAUGAAUAAGUCACGGCUAACUACGUGCCAGCAGCCGC